UACGGAGGAUGCAAGCGUUAUCCGGAUUCAUUGGGUUUAAAGGGUGCGUAGGCGGACUAUUAAGUCAGUGGUGAAAGCCUGCAGCUUAACUGCAGAACUGCCAUUGAUACUGAUAGUCUUGAGUUUGGUUAAGGUAGGCGGAAUGUGUAAUGUAGCGGUGAAAUGCAUAGAUAUUACACAGAACACCGAUUGCGAAGGCAGCUUACUAAUCCAUCAUUGACGCUGAGGCACGAAAGCGUGGGGAUCAAACA
rnacentral:rRNA from 1 species